rnacentral:rRNA from 1 species
AUCGCUUAACGGUGGAUCCGCGCCGGGUACGGGCGGGCUUGAGUGCGGUAGGGGAGACUGGAAUUCCCGGUGUAACGGUGGAAUGUGUAGAUAUCGGGAAGAACACCAAUGGCGAAGGCAGGUCUCUGGGCCGUUACUGACGCUGAGGAGCGAAAGCGUGGGGAGCGAACAGGAUUAGAUACCCUGGUAGUCCACGCCGUAAACGGUGGAUGCUGGAUGUGGGGCCCGUUCCACGGGUUCCGUGUCGGAGCUAACGCGUUAAGCAUCCCGCCUGGGGAGUACGGCCGCAAGGCUAAAACUCAAAGAAAUUGACGGGGGCCCGCACAAGCGGCGGAGCAUGCGGAUUAAUUCGAUGCAACGCGAAGAACCUUACCUGGGCUUGACAUGUUCCCGACGAUCCCAGAGAUGGGGUUUCCCUUCGGGGCGGGUUCACAGGUGGUGCAUGGUCGUCGUCAGCUCGUGUCGUGAGAUGUUGGGUUAAGUCCCGCAACGAGCGCAACCCUCGCCCCGUGUUGCCAGCGGAUUGUGCCGGGAACUCACGGGGGACCGCCGGGGUUAACUCGGAGGAAGGUGGGGAUGACGUCAGAUCAUCAUGCCCCUUACGUCCAGGGCUUCACGCAUGCUACAAUGGCCGGUACAACGGGAUGCGACGCGGCGACGCGGAGCGGAUCCCUGAAAACCGGUCUCAGUUCGGAUCGCAGUCUGCAACUCGACUGCGUGAAGGCGGAGUCGCUAGUAAUCGCGAAUCAGCAACGUCGCGGUGAAUGCGUUCCCGGGCCUUGUACACACCGCCCGUCAAGUCAUGAAAGUGGGCAGCACCCGAAGCCGGUGGCCUAACCCCUUGUGGGAUGGAGCCGUCUAAGGUGAGGCUCGUGAUUGGGACUAAGUCGUAACAAGGUAGCCGUACCGGAAGGUGCGGCUG